AACGAACGCUGGCGGCAUGCCUAAUACAUGCAAGUCGAACGGAAUGGGGCAACCCAUUUAGUGGCGGACGGGUGAGUAACGCGUGGGAACCUGCCCAUCGGUACGGAAUAACCUCGGGAAACUGUGGCUAAUACCGUAUGCUCCCUUCGGGGGAAAGAUUUAUCCCGGGUGGAGGGGCCCGCGUCGGAUUAGGUAGUUGGUGAGGUAACGGCUCACCAAGCCUUCGCUCCGUAGCUGGUCUGAGGGGAUGAUCAGCCACACUGGGACUGAGACACGGCCCAGACUCCUACGGGAGGCAGCAGUAGGGAAUAUUGGACAAUGGGGGCAACCCUGAUCCAGCAAUGCCGCGUGAGUGAUGAAGGCCUUAGGGUUGUAAAGCUCUUUUGGCAGGGACGAUGAUGACGGUACCUGCAGAAUAAGCCCCGGCUAACUUCGUGCCAGCAGCCGCCGUAA
rnacentral:rRNA from 1 species